rnacentral:lncRNA from 1 species
AUUGAAGCUCUGUACGAGCACAUGUAUGUUUUCUAUUGUUGCUCCAAUUUAGUGAAGUGAAAAAUAGCUUCUGACCUUUGUUUAUGUUUUUGAAUUUACCAGUAUAUCCGAGAUAUGGGAAUUUCUCAAUAGUUUAUAGUCAUGAAGUAAAAAGAUUAUUAAAAUAAAUUUCCACUCAGUAUCUUAUAAAGUCAUUUGCUCAUGGAUGUCCAUAAUGUAUUGUUACUGCGAAAGUUACGUUUGGUUUUGACGGACAGUUAAAAAAACUGGUGAGAUGGCCGGCGUGGC